UAUUUUAGAGUUUUGAUCCUGGGCUCAAGAACGAAAGCUGGCGGCAGUGCUUAACACAUCCAAGUCGGACGCGGAAUUUUUUUUUCGGAAAAUGAUUAGAGUGGCGCACGGGGUGAGUAACGCGUAAAUAAAUUUAACCCUUUGCAUCCGGGAUAACCCACCGAAAGGUGAGGCUAAUACCGGAUACGUUCUUUUAACCGCGAGGUUUUUAAGAAGAAAAGGUUGGCCUCUGAUAUAAGCUAACUGUGCAGGGAGGAGUUUGCGUACCAUUAGCUAGUUGGCAGGGUAAUGGCCUACCAAGGCAACGAUGGUUAGCGGGUCUGAGAGGAUGAUCCGCCACACUGGAACUGGAACACGGACCAGACUCCUACGGGAGGUCAGCAGUGAGGAAUAUUGCGCAAUGGGGGCAACCCUGACGCAGCGACGCCGCGUGGAUGAUGAAGGCCUUCGGGUCGUAAAAUCCUGUCAGAUGGAAAGAAGUGUUAUAUGGAUAAUACCUGUAUAGCUUGACGGUACCAUCAAAGGAAGCACCGGCUAACUCCGUGCCAGCAGCCGCGGUAAUACGGAGGGUGCAAGCGUUGUUCGGAAUUACUGGGCGUAAAGCGCGCGUAGGUGGUUCUGUUAUGUCAGAAUGUGAAAGUCCACGGCUCAACCGUGGAAGUGCAUUUGAAAAUGGCCAGAACUUGAGUAACUGGGAGGGGGUAGUGGAAUUCCCGGUGUAGAGGUGAAAUUCGUAGAUAUCGGGAGGAAUCCGGUGGCGAAGGCGACUACCUGGCCAGAUACUGACACCAGUUGAAGGUUGCGGAAAGGCGUGGGGAGCAAACAGGAAUUUAGAUACCCUGGUUAGUCCACACCCGUAAACGAUGUUCAACUAAGUGUUGGGAUGGUUAAUCGUCUCCAUUGCCGGAGCUAACGCAUUAAGUUGACCGCCCUGGGGGAGUACGGUCCCCAAAAAUUAAAACCUCAAAAGGGAAUUGGACGGGGCCCCCGCCACAAAGCCCGGUGGAAGUUAUGUGGUUUAAUUCCAACGCAAGCCCCAAAACCUUACCUGGUUCUGGAAAAUCCCCGAAAAAUCCCUUGGAAAAUUAGGGAAUGCCCCUUGAAGGAACUCGAGACUGGGUGUCAACCGGAGGAAGGUGGGGAUGGCGUCAAGUCCUCAUGGCCUUAUGACCAGGGCUACACACGUACUACAAUGGCUUAGACAAAGGGCAGCGACAUCGCGAGGUGAAGCGAAUCCCAUAAACUAUGUCUCAGUCCGGAUUGGAGUCUGCAACUCGACUCCAUGAAGUUGGAAUCGCUAGUAAUCGUGGAUCAACAUGCACGGUGAAUACGUUCCCGGGCCUUGUACACACCGGCCGUCACACCAUGAGAGUGGUUGUACCAGAAUCGUUGGGCAAACCCUUCGGGGAUGCAGGGCGCCUAAGGUAUGGCUGAUGAUUGGGGUGAAGUCGUAACAAGGUAACC
rnacentral:rRNA from 1 species